AGUAACGCGUGAGCAACCUGCCUAUGACAGUGGGAUAGCCUCGGGAAACCGGGAUUAAUACUGCAUAAAAUCGUAGAAACACAUGUUUUAACGGUCAAAGAUUUAUCGGUCAUAGAUGGGCUCGCGUCUGAUUAGCUAGUUGGUGAGAUAACAGCCCACCAAGGCGACGAUCAGUAGCCGGUCUGAGAGGAUGAACGGCCACAUUGGAACUGAGACACGGUCCAA
rnacentral:rRNA from 1 species